UACGUAGGGUGCAAGCGUUAAUCGGAAUUACUGGGCGUAAAGCGUGCGCAGGCGGUGAUGUAAGACAGAUGUGAAAUCCCCGGGCUCAACCUGGGAACUGCAUUUGUGACUGCAUCGCUGGAGUGCGGAAGAGGGGGAUGGAAUUCCGCGUGUAGCAGUGAAAUGCGUAGAUAUGCGGAGGAACACCGAUGGCGAAGGCAAUCCCCUGGGCCGGCACUGACGCUCAUGCACGAAAGCGUGGGGAGCAAACAGG
rnacentral:rRNA from 1 species